UUGAUACUGAACGGGCCUGUCCUGGCUGUGGACAGGGAUGUUGGAGUUAAUGCUGUGGUGAAAUAUGGCCUGCUGGGAAACAGAGUGGACCUUUUCACCAUCAACUCCACCACAGCUGUGGUAUCAGUGCGUGAGGGUGCUGUGUUGGACAGAGAGGCGUUCUCUGACCCGCGGGUGGAGUUGUUUCUGGUUGGGGAGGAUGUAGGGGGGCUAAACAGCAGCGUUCCUCUCACCAUCACCAUCCUGGACAGAAACGACAACCCUCCGGUGUUCAACCCCUCAAGCUUCACAGUACGCUUGCCUGAAAACAGCCCUACAGGUGUUGUAGUGACCCAGCUGUCGGCAUCAGAUGCAGACGCUGGCUCUAAUGGGUGGCUGCAGUACCGCCUGGAGAGCGGCGCUCAGGACCGCUUCGUAG